GUUUUAAAUAAUAAUAAUAAUAAGCCCGCAGGGCAGCUUGUGGCGAGCUGUUGGGGAGUAACGACCCCACGGACCCGAGUGCUCCCGAGAGUCGGUCAGGGUCUCCGUCUCCGGCGUGUCUUCGUCGGUCGGAGUGGACCCUAAGGGGACCCGUAGGACUCUCAGCUCUGGCUUGCCUUCAUUGGCCGUCCAGAGAGGAGUCGUUAGAGCUAUAUGCUCCAGAGGUGGAAGUUGAAAUAUGCAUAAGACGCGAGUUGGCACAGUGGCUGUUAACAGCCACUGGGUAGAAAGCGGCGCACACCUCUCGACACCCCUGAGCCGCUCACACCGGUGUUGCCCUUGAGCCAUCCUAGAUGUCGCUUUUUGUGGGGGCCCAUCUUGUGAGGGCGAGUCACCGUCUGCCGGAAAUAAAAUUGCAUACCGUUUUAUUAGGCAGGCGUCCGGUUUUUUACCCCAUAGCUCAGUUCUUAGUCCAUCGCUUUCACCCAAUAACCUAGUUCAUUUUAGAUUCCAUCAACUCUCAAUAGUCCUUACACCCUGGCGGGUGCUGCCUCUGCGUGCGUCCCAUGACACGGGCAAGGGCAGCCUCCGCUCGGUGUACCCCUUACAUUUCAUUAAAGUGUCAAAAGGGCCUCUACGUGUUGGCUUCGGCUCCGCGCACGCCUCCCAAAGGUCCGGAACACCAUUGUUCCGUGAUGGGAAAGACAUAAUAAUAUA